AUUGAACGCUGGCGGCAGGCCUAACACAUGCAAGUCGAACGGUAACAGGAAACAGCUUGCUGUUUCGCUGACGAGUGGCGGACGGGUGAGUAAUGUCUGGGAAACUGCCUGAUGGAGGGGGAUAACUACUGAAAACGGUAGCUAAUACCGCAUAACGUCGCAAGACCAAAGAGGGGGACCUUCGGGCCUCUUGCCAUCGGAUGUGCCCAGAUGGGAUUAGCUAGUAGGUGGGGUAACGGCUCACCUAGGCGACGAUCCCUAGCUGGUCUGAGAGGAUGACCAGCCACACUGGAACUGAGACACGGUCCAGACUCCUACGGGAGGCAGCAGUGGGGAAUAUUGCACAAUGGGCGCAAGCCUGAUGCAGCCAUGCCGCGUGUAUGAAGAAGGCCUUCGGGUUGUAAAGUACUUUCAGCGGGGAGGAAGGGAGUAAAGUUAAUACCUUUGCUCAUUGACGUUACCCGCAGAAGAAGCACCGGCUAACUCCGUGCCAGCAGCCGCGGUAAUACGGAGGGUGCAAGCGUUAAUCGGAAUUACUGGGCGUAAAGCGCACGCAGGCGGUUUGUUAAGUCAGAUGUGAAAUCCCCGGGCUCAACCUGGGAACUGCAUCUGAUACUGGCAAGCUUGAGUCUCGUAGAGGGGGGUAGAAUUCCAGGUGUAGCGGUGAAAUGCGUAGAGAUCUGGAGGAAUACCGGUGGCGAAGGCGGCCCCCUGGACGAAGACUGACGCUCAGGUGCGAAAGCGUGGGGGAGCAAACAGGAUUAGAUACCCUGGUAGUCCACGCCGUAAACGAUGUCGACUUGGAGGUUGUGCCCUUGAGGCGUGGCUUCCGGAGCUAACGCGUUAAGUCGACCGCCUGGGGAGUACGGCCGCAAGGUUAAAACUCAAAUGAAUUGACGGGGGCCCGCACAAGCGGUGGAGCAUGUGGUUUAAUUCGAUGCAACGCGAAGAACCUUACCUGGUCUUGACAUCCACGGAAGUUUUCAGAGAUGAGAAUGUGCCUUCGGGAACCGUGAGACAGGUGCUGCAUGGCUGUCGUCAGCUCGUGUUGUGAAAUGUUGGGUUAAGUCCCGCAACGAGCGCAACCCUUAUCCUUUGUUGCCAGCGGUCCGGCCGGGAACUCAAAGGAGACUGCCAGUGAUAAACUGGAGGAAGGUGGGGAUGACGUCAAGUCAUCAUGGCCCUUACGACCAGGGCUACACACGUGCUACAAUGGCGCAUACAAAGAGAAGCGACCUCGCGAGAGCAAGCGGACCUCAUAAAGUGCGUCGUAGUCCGGAUUGGAGUCUGCAACUCGACUCCAUGAAGUCGGAAUCGCUAGUAAUCGUGGAUCAGAAUGCCACGGUGAAUACGUUCCCGGGCCU
rnacentral:rRNA from 1 species